AAACUAUGCAUAGGGCAUUUGCUCAGCAAAUCUUUAAAUCGAUCCCAAUCUUCAUACCAAUUUUCAUCCUCUAAUUGCUUGAAAGAUGUGAUGUCAUUCGUCAUUCU